AUUCUUUUAUCAAUAAUAAAAUCCUUUGCUGUCCACUUACGUCGGUGAAGUUCAUAAAACAACAUACGAAAGCAAUAACAUAAUCAUCAUCAUGAAAUCAUAUGAACUGUAUAACAUAAUACUUACCACGUCUUUGCAUUUCAAUCAUUACACAACAUAUUUUCCUCAUUUACCAGCCUACUAGUAUCCAUGGGGAUCCAUAGGGGUCCCGCUACCUGUGAACCCUUAACAUUUGUAAUCAGAUUCCAGGGCCGUCCCAUACCCCGACCGGUAUGGGCGCUAAAACCAUAAACCUCAAUACCCCGUCUGGUAUGAGGGUGAAACGGGCUGUCCCCAUACCCCGUCCGGUAUGGGCGCCAAAACACAUAAGGUCUCCAUACCCCGUCCGGUAUGAGAGACCACAAUCCCGGUAGGGUUCCCUACGGACCCGGUCCAUCCACCAUCUCCCAGGAUAUCUAGUCAGGCUGACCACAUUAUACAAUUAUCAAUUUUCAUAACCUUUUAUUUCCUUUUCCUCAGUCAGCAUCAUCAAAUCACACACAAACCAGCAAACCAGUAAUUUAUGCCAAACAAGACAACACACAACAUCGGGUUCUCAGUCAUUCAACCCAAAAUCAAUAAAAUAGUGAUAUAUGCACACGAAACUAUGAAAUGAGGACAUCAGACAUCAUA
rnacentral:lncRNA from 1 species